rfam:Camelus ferus unplaced genomic scaffold scaffold2190, whole genome shotgun sequence.
GAGGGUAUAGCUCAAAGUGGUAGAGCACAUGCUUAGCAUGCACAAGGUCCUGGGUUCAAUACCCCCAGUACCGCCU